GGCUGUAGCUCAGUGGUCGAGCACCUGCCUCACAUGCAUGAUACCCUAGGUUCAAACCCUAGCACUGCCA
rnacentral:tRNA from 1 species